rnacentral:sRNA from 1 species
GUCCAAGUUUGUGUCUGGCGGGCACAGUGGCCUUCAGAGACUCAAGGUAUGGAGGGCAGAGCCAGGGAGGGGUGAGCAUGUCUUGGGACGGGACAGCCAGGCGGCUGGCACCGCCAUCACCGCUAUCGCUGCUCCUGGUGCUGAUGCUGCUGUCACGAGCCGGGGCUCUGCAUCCUGAAGAGCUCUUUCCUUACGGGGGAGUCGUGGGGAGACCGGCUGCUGCGGGAGGGCGACGUUGAAAGCUCCGCGGCUGUGAAGCUAGCAGUACGUAGAAGUAGCUUCUACGGUGUCCAGUUCAGCAACCUCUACGUGGGCACCAAUGGGAUCAUCUCCACCCAGGACUUACCCAGGGAGAGUUAAUAUGUCGUUGAUGAUUUUCCUACUGACUUCCCAGCCAUCGCCCCAUUCCUGGCUGACAUCCACUCGAGUCACAACUGUGGCCGGACCCUGUAUGGAGGACACAUCCUGAGCUGUGCUGAGUCUGGCUGCUGGCUACCUGUGCACAGGCUUCCCCACUACCCACUUCUUCCUGGCCACCUGGGAGCAAGUGGGCGCCUAGGAGGAGGACAGGCUUGGUUGGGGCUGCAUGGUCUGGAGAGGGCCAGAAGAGGGCUUGGGCCCCCUGAAGCUGGAGUUGUUACAUCCAGACAGUUGUGAACUGCUUGACUGACAAUGGAUACAGAGAUUUGAGCUAGCAUGCUGAAAGGACUACAAGGAGCUGAGCCACCUCUUCAAAGCCAACACUUUUUAAAGUGUCAAAACACUGCACAGCCUGAGCUGACAUCACAGGAGAGUGAGCAAGCAUGCCAUGAACUUCUUAGUAAGUUCCCUGUAGCUUUCUCCACAUUGCCUUUGUAACAGUUUACAUACUUCAAUCUGCAGGAGCCUGCUUUGCAGUCUCCCUGGAGAAAACACCAACUCUGCUCUGGCUUUGGUCUUGGCAACAUGUGAAGCGGGUAUGGGUGGGUGAGGGUAAAUGGCCUCAUUCCUGGUGUAGGUAGAGACAGAGUCCUCUUGUGAAAUUCCACCUGGCUGUAAAAUGCCAUAGACCUGGAGCAAAUCUGUGUUUGCUUUAACUUCCCUAGUGCCUCUGAGCUACAGAAGUGAUGUCUUCCCUAAGAGCUUGCCCAUUGUUCCUGAGUUUGUUCUGUGAAAUUAAAGGAAGAGACAUGUUUUCCUAAAGCCUGCACCAGCAGAGAUGGAGAAAUUGUUUGAAGCUACAGUUUCUUACUUGACAGGUUAACAUCCAGUUUUGUUUACUUACUAGCCUUGUAAUGCCUUGGCUUUGACAUCUCAAUUACAGUUCAACAGAAUACCUUCAACUCAAACACUGCUUCCUUGGUGCAGGCCAGCCAGCUAGAGGGCUAGAGAAGACAGGCCCCACUGUUAGGUUUCAUUCGCUCAGUCAUUCAUUCAUACAUUCUUUUUAAAACGUUUAUCUAAUAUCAUGUAUAACAAGCUUAUAGUGGAAAAAAAUAAACUUUUCUAAUACAAGCAACUAGGUCGCCAAUUCUAAUAUUUCUAUUUUCUUACAGUCUU